GCCCCAAUUGAGUCUUAUUGAGCAGGUCGGGCUGCUUCGACUGACUUCCGUUGAGAGGAAGUAUGACGUCGAGAAGUGUAUGUUCGCGUCCAAUCUUAGGGAUAUCCGGGACACGGGUAUAAUGCCUUGUCCGACUAUUCUGUUUCUUCUUUGCUCAUAAUAUCGGAAAGUAUGCUGAUUCUUUAUAAUUUCGUUUCUUUUGCAGCUUCUGAGGUAAAAAUGGAUGACAUCAAGUUCCCCAAGAACUUUGUCCUGUCUCGGGAUAAUAUGCAUGCCAUUUUCGACGCCUUUGGGGAUGGGCGUUCAGUGACUGAGAUUGCUGCGGAGAUGGUUCAAGCUGCUUCCUCCA
rnacentral:lncRNA from 1 species